CAGUAGCCGCGGUAAUACGUAGGGUGCAAGCGUUAAUCGGAAUUACUGGGCGUAAAGCGUGCGCAGGCGGUUAUAUAAGACAGAUGUGAAAUCCCCGGGCUCAACCUGGGAACUGCAUUUGUGACUGUAUAGCUAGAGUACGGCAGAGGGGGAUGGAAUUCCGCGUGUAGCAGUGAAAUGCGUAGAUAUGCGGAGGAACACCGAUGGCGAAGGCAAUCCCCUGGGCCUGUACUGACGCUCAUGCACGAAAGCGUGGGGAGCAAACAGGAUUAGAUACCCCGUAGUCCCUGUCUCUUAUACA
rnacentral:rRNA from 1 species